ensembl:snoRNA Small nucleolar RNA U109
UUGCAUGUGGUGGCUUUACAGCCACAAGACUUCCACCUCUCGCCACUGAUGAGAUUGUGGACAUACAAGAUACAGCAUGCUAAAGUAAAUGUCAUGGAGUUAACAGGGCCACCAGUCUUCCAAGAACAGACUGUGUUGGUAGUAUAGUACUCCAACAUUA